rnacentral:misc_RNA from 1 species
GGAAUAUUGCACAAUGGGCGCAAGCCUGAUGCAGCCAUGCCGCGUGUAUGAAGAAGGCCUUCGGGUUGUAAAGUACUUUCAGCGGGGAGGAAGGCGGUGAGGUUAAUAACCUCAUCGAUUGACGUUACCCGCAGAAGAAGCACCGGCUAACUCCGUGCCAGCAGCCGCGGUAAUACGGAGGGUGCAAGCGUUAAUCGGAAUUACUGGGCGUAAAGCGCACGCAGGCGGUCUGUCAAGUCGGAUGUGAAAUCCCCGGGCUCAACCUGGGAACUGCAUUCGAAACUGGCAGGCUAGAGGCUUGUAGAGGGGGGUAGAAUUCCAGGUGUAGCGGUGAAAUGCGUAGAGAUCUGGAGGAAUACCGGUGGCGAAGGCGGCCCCCUGGACAAAGACUGACGCUCAGGUGCGAAAGCGUGGGGAGCAAACAGGA